GAGAACAGUGAAUGCUGCAUCCCCAAGACCAGCACAUCACAUCUGCCCAGGAUCAGCCUUAGGCAGCCCACAGUUCGCAUUUGCCAGCCCUGUGGAGAGGUGUGGGAGGUAAUGGUGAAAAUAGGGGAGGAUACCUGUCAAGUGAAGGUCUUCAGAAGAGAAGGGAGGGUGGAAGGUUAAAGAAUGACCUAGGUUUUAUGGCCUACUUCAAAGAAGAAGGGAAAGGAGAAGGACAAAAAGAUUCUUCAAUCUAUGGAAGGGGUACAGUGAAAUCAGUGGACCCCUAGGUUGGUUCACCUAGGAGAUGAUACAGUUCGGGAGAUGACCACUGGCCUCUGGUGUUACAUUUUGGACACAGCAGUAAAGGCUCGCGUAUAGUGACAAGAUCAUGGUUCACUGCAGCCUUGACCUCAUGGGCUCAAGCAGUCCUUCUGCCUCAGCCUCACAAGUAACAAGGACUACAGGUACAUGCCACCAUGCUAACCUAAUAAUUUCUUAUUUUUUCUGUUUAUAUGGAAUUUCCCCAUAUUGCCCAGGCUGAUCUCAAACUCCAGGGCUCAAGUGAUUCACCCACCUCGGCCUCCCAAAGUGCUGGGAUUACAGGUGUGAGCCACGAGGCCUGGACUGUUUUAAUUUCUGCUUUAUCUUUUUGGUGGGAGAGUGUCUGCUUUCUUGGGAUUUAUUUUGUUUCUAUUCUACAUUCAUUAAGUGAUUAAAUUGUUCAUUUAUAUUCAUUAUUUUUAAAAGCAUUUUUAUUAUGUGUUUCUCUUUUCACCCGUAUCUUUCAAGUUUUUAUAUACACUGACUUUAGUAUUCAUUUCUAAGCUCUUAUGUAGCUAACAUUAUGUUUCUUUCCAUUUGGCAAAGCAGUGAUAUUCAGGUUGACCCAAGUCACUUUUCAAGAAACCACUGUGUAGAUUGAUCAUGGUUUUCUAGAAUCUAUCCUAAAAAAAAGUCAUAGAUUAUCCUUAGUUUAAUUACUUUGCAGGCAAAUAUUGAUCUCAGAUAUAAUUUGAAGUUCUAUUUUUUAUUCUUAAUGUUAAGAAAAUAUCAGACUUAG
rnacentral:lncRNA from 1 species